CAGUAGCCGCGGUAAAACGAAGGGUGCAAGCGUUAAUCGGAAUUACUGGGCGUAAAGCGUGCGUAGGCGGUUUGUUAAGUCAGAUGUGAAAUCCCCCGGCUCAACCUGGGAAUGGCAGUGGAUACUGGCUCGCUAGAGUGUGUCAGAGGAUGGUGGAAUUCCCGGUGUAGCGGUGAAAUGCGUAGAGAUCGGGAGGAACAUCAGUGGCGAAGGCGGCCAUCUGGGACAACACUGACGCUGAGGCACGAAAGCGUGGGGAGCAAACAGGAUUAGAUACCCCAGUAGUCCCUGUCUCUUAUAC
rnacentral:rRNA from 1 species